rnacentral:rRNA from 1 species
ACAGGCGAAAUGAAAGUGAAGGGAAGAUGGGCGGCCCUCGGGUCGCCCCGCACUCCCGGGGCGUCUCGUUCUCAAUGCGAGAUGAGGCGCACCAAGAGCGUACACGCUGGGACCCGAAAGAUGGUGAACUAUGCCUGGUCAGGACGAAGUCAGGGGAAACCCUGAUGGAGGUCCGUAGCGAUUCUGACGUGCAAAUCGAUCGUCGGAACUGGGUAUAGGGGCGAAAGACUAAUCGAACCAUCUAGUAGCUGGUUCCCUCCGAAGUUUCCCUCAGGAUAGCUGGCGCUCGUCCUAGUGCGAGUCUCAUCCGGUAAAGCGAAUGAUUAGAGGCAUUGGGGUCGAAACGGCCUCAACCUAUUCUCAAACUUUAAAUGGGUGAGAUCUCCGGCUUUCUUGAACGCCGACGCCGUUUUCGGACGGACGUCUUGAAGCCGCGAGAAAAAGGAUCAGAGUGCCAAGUGGGCCACUUUUGGUAAGCAGAACUGGCGCUGUGGGAUGAACCAAACGCAGAGUUAAAGCGCCCAAAUCGACGCUUAUGGGA